AAUGAGCCUGCGAGUUGUGGUGUCUGGCAAGGUUAAGCAAACGCGAAGCCGUAGCGAAAGCGAGUCUGAAUAGGGCGCUUAGUCAGAUGCUGCAGACCCGAAACGAAGUGAUCUAUCCAUGAGCAAGUUGAAGCUAGUGUAAGAACUAGUGGAGGACUGAACCCAUAGGCGUUGAAAAGCCCCGGGAUGACUUGUGGAUAGGGGUGAAAGGCCAAUCAAACUUCGUGAUAGCUGGUUCUCUCCGAAAUAUAUUUAGGUAUAGCGUUGUGUCGUAAUAUAAGGGGGUAGAGCACUGAAUGGGCUAGGGCAUACACCAAUGUACCAAACCCUAUCAAACUCCGAAUACCUUAUAUGUAAUCACAGCAGUCAGGCGGCGAGUGAUAAAAUCCGUCGUCAAGAGGGAAACAACCCAGACUACCAGCUAAGGUCCCUAAAUCUUACUUAAGUGGAAAACGAUGUGAAGUUACUUAAACAACCAGGAGGUUGGCUUAGAAGCAGCCAUCCUUUAAAGAAAGCGUAAUAGCUCACUGGUCUAGUGAUUUUGCGCGGAAAAUAUAACGGGGCUAAAGUAAGUACCGAAGCUGUAGACUUAGUUUACUAAGUGGUAGGAGAGCGUUCUAUUUGCGUCGAAGGUAUACCGGUAAGGAGUGCUGGAGCGAAUAGAAGUGAGCAUGCAGGCAUGAGUAGCGAUAAUUAAUGUGAGAAUCAUUAACGCCGUAAACCCAAGGUUUCCUACGCGAUGCUCGUCAUCGUAGGGUUAGUCGGGUCCUAAGUCGAGUCCGAAAGGGGUAGACGAUGGCAAAUUGGUUAAUAUUCCAAUACCAACAUUAGUGUGCGAUGGAAGGACGCUUAGGGCUAAGGGGGCUAGCGGAUGGAAGUGCU
rnacentral:rRNA from 1 species